rnacentral:rRNA from 1 species
UGGGGAAUCUUGCGCAAUGGGCGAAAGCCUGACGCAGCGACGCCGCGUGGGGGAGGAAGCUUUUCGGAGUGUAAACCUCUGUCAGGGGGGAAGAAUGGGCGUGGGAGGAAAUGCCCGCGUUUUGACGGUACCUCCAAAGGAAGCACCGGCUAACUCUGUGCCAGCAGCCGCGGUAAUACAGAGGGUGCGAGCGUUGUUCGGAAUUACUGGGCGUAAAGCGCGCGCAGGCGGUCCUUUAAGUCUACCCGUGAAAUGCCGGAGCUCAACUCCGUGCACGCCGGGGGAUACUGGGGGACUGGAGACAUGUAGAGGCAAGCGGAAUUCCGGGUGUAGCGGUGGAAUGCGUAGAUAUCCGGAAGAACACCUGAGGCGAAGGCGGCUUGCUGGGCAUGAUCUGACGCUGAGGCGCGAAAGCGUGGGGAGCAAACAG